ensembl:lncRNA
AGAGAUCAUGAUGCGGCCGCCCUUUGGGAUUUCUUUUUAAUAAUGUGUGACCCUUCACCUUUGAUCCCCUGACCUGCAUUACCUUGGCUCUCUCCACACACUUGCUCAUGGGCGCAGCACGAAGAGGGUCCGCCGAGCUGGAGCCGUGCGGGCUGACACGUUGGAGUGGAAGCUGGCAGAAUUCGUAGGGAGAGCGUUGCCAUCCUGCCAGCUCCCUAUCUGGCUUCAAGACAGUUCUAUUAGUGAAUUAAUUGUACUCAAAUCCCGAAAUUAAUUUAAGCUGAACAUUGCUAAAAAUGAACUAGAUUAAAGUGACCCCGUCCUGCUUCAUUCAGAGUCACUAGGAAGGCGAUCUCCAGCCUGACCCAGCUCGGGGAGCGUGGGUCUCUGUCCACCUGCCACCAGGUCCCAGUGGCCAGCCUGACCAGCCACACGCCCAGAUGCCACUCUCAGUCCCCUUAGCAAGCUGCUCUUUUCAUCGGAGUGAUGAUCCGUGUGUUGGUUCCUGUCUGAAUCCUUGAGAAUGGACGCUCCAGGGGAGCGGGGCCUCCAUCGAGGCCACCCUGUGUCUCCGGCUCGUUGGGUGGUCCCUGGUACCAUGUGGCAUCUAAAUAAAUGCUGUCUAAGGAACGAAUGAAUGCGUGGGUUGACGCCAUCACAUCCUUCAUGAAUGUUUUCAUUUGCCUUUUAUACGUGAUUUUUAAAAAUGAUGAAGUGGUGAAAUUGUGGGAUAAAUGUAAAAAUGUUGCGAUCAAAAUGACCGGCAGACCAGUAGAGGGUGUUUCUAAGAUGCCAGAGCACAUCAGGACUCAGGAUUCCGCAUCAUGAAACUGGUGUGUGUGACAGUACCCGAGCCUCCUGCGCAAGACGACGCCCCGUCGACGAAGCAAAAGCAUGAGUCACGGGGAGUUCCCGUCGUGGCUCAGUGAUGAACGAAUCCGACUAGGAACCAUGAGGUUGCGGAUUCGAUCCCUGGCCUUGGUCAGUGGGUGAAGGAUCUGGCAUUGCUGUGGCUGUGGUGUAGGCCGGCAGCUACAGCUCCAAUUCGACCCCUAGCCUGGGAACGUCCAUAUGCCCCGGCAGCAGCCCAAGAAAUGGCGAAAAGACAAAAAAAAAAAACAGGCAUGCAUCACGGCUCUGGACUCUUAUUGAGACAUCUGGUGAGAGUCUAGAAAGAUACGUCGAAAAGCACAUGGAGGUAGAAAUAGGAAGCCAUGAAAUAUUUUUCUUAAUAAUUUAAAAUAAUAAAAUUUGGCAUCAAGUAAG